rnacentral:rRNA from 1 species
AUAGCGUAUAUUAAAGUUGUUGUGGUUAAAAAGCUCGUAGUUGAACCUUGGGCCUGGCUGGCCGGUCCCCCUCACCGGGUGCACUGAUCCAGCCGGGCCUUUCCCUCUGUGGAACCUCAUGGCCUUCACUGGCUGUGCUGGGGAAACAGGACUUUUACUUUGAAAAAAUUAGAGUGCUCCAGGCAGGCCUAUGCUCGAAUACAUUAGCAUGGAAUAAUAGAAUAGGACGUGUGGUUCUAUUUUGUUGGUUUCUAGGACCGCCGUAAUGAUUAAUAGGGACAGUCGGGGGCAUCAGUAUUCAAUUGUCAGAGGUGAAAUUCUNGGAUCUAUUGAAGACUACUACUGCGAAAGCAUUUGCCAAGGAUGUUUUCAUUGAUAAGGAACGAAAGUUAGGGGAUCGAAGACGAUCAGAUACC